AACAAAACGCUGGCGGCGUGUCUUAAGCAUGCAAGUUGAGCGGCAAGGAGGAGAGAUCCUCCCUAGAGCGGCGGACUGGUGAGUAACGCGUGGGUAAUCUAUCGUAGGCAUGGGGAUAGUCACUAGAAAUAGUGGGUAAUACCGAAUACGUUCCAUGAGGGGAGUAUUCAUGGAAGAAAGGGUGCUACGGCACUGGCCUUAGGUGAGCUCGCGUCCCAUUAGCUAGUUGGUGAGGUAAAGGCCCACCAAGGCGAUGAUCUGUAGCUGGUCUGAGAGGACGACCAGCCACACUGGAACUGAGACACGGUCCAGACUCCUACGGGAGGCAGCAGUGGGGAAUUUUGGACAAUGGGCGCAAGCCUGAUCCAGCCAUUCCGCGUGCAGGAUGAAGGCCUUCGGGUUGUAAACGUGUCUUUGUACGGAACGAAACGGUCUGCCCUAAUACGGCGGCUAAUGACGGUACGUAAGAAUAAGCACCGGCUAACUACGU
rnacentral:rRNA from 1 species